GAUGAACGCUGGCGGCGUGCCUAAUACAUGCAAGUCGAGCGAACAGAUGAGGAGCUUGCUCCUCUGACGUUAGCGGCGGACGGGUGAGUAACACGUGGAUAACCUACCUAUAAGACUGGGAUAACUUCGGGAAACCGGAGCUAAUACCGGAUAAUAUAUUGAACCGCAUGGUUCAAUAGUGAAAGACGGUUUUGCUGUCACUUAUAGAUGGAUCCGCGCCGCAUUAGCUAGUUGGUAAGGUAACGGCUUACCAAGGCAACGAUGCGUAGCCGACCUGAGAGGGUGAUCGGCCACACUGGAACUGAGACACGGUCCAGACUCCUACGGGAGGCAGUAGGGAAUCUUCCGCAAUGGGCGAAAGCCUGACGGAGCAACGCCGCGUGAGUGAUGAAGGUCUUCGGAUCGUAAAACUCUGUUAUUAGGGAAGAACAAAUGUGUAAGUAACUAUGCACGUCUUGACGGUACCUAAUCAGAAAGCCACGGCUAACUACGUG
rnacentral:rRNA from 1 species